rnacentral:sRNA from 1 species
GCUUUUUAUUUCAUUUAUUGAGUUCUUCCAUUCCAGGAUUAUGUACUUUUGUUAUCUUAUAUGUCUUAGGUCACACUGAGUUUCUUUAAUAUCAUUAUUUUGAUUUUUUUGUUAGGCAUUUCAAAAUUUGGGGGGAGGAUCUGUUACUGAAGAAUUAUUAUUUUCCUUUGAAGGUGUCAUAUUUUCUUGCUUUUCAAUGUUUUUUGUAUCCUUAUGUUUAUAUCUGUACACCUGAUGUCACUUCUUCCUAUUUUAUGCAUUGGCUUUUGUAGGGAAAGACUUUUUCCUUUAGAUGUAGCUAUAGUGUUGGUUGGAUAGGGUGCUUUGGCUUUGAUUCUGGGUGAGUGCAGUAGUAUAGUCUCCCUAUGAUUUCUUCAGCUUUAGUGAGCAUUAGUGGUGUCAGUCCCUCAGUGGCUUAGACUGUGGUUGUUAAUGAAGGCUGUAGUAGGCUUUUCUGGGGACUGUGAUUCCAGGUAGGCCAGUGCUCAGGCACUAGUAGUUGUGCCAGUAGGCAGGGCAUGCCUUUCCUCAGGCCCCUAGAUAGUACAUGUGGGCGCCAGCAGGCAUAGGCAGAGCAUAACAAUACUUAAGACCCCAGAUGAAAUGCACAGGCACCAACAGCAGGCAGAACAGGCCUGUCGUCAGGCCCUCUGAUGGUGUGUGCAGGCAAUGGCAGCAGCGUGCUAGUUGAGUCAGUCCUCGGGCCCUUAGAUGGCAUGCUUAGGCACAGUUGACAGUGGCAGUGGGCAGGGCAGGCUUGUCCUCAGGACCCUAGACAAUGUGUGCUGGUGGCAGUGGUAGGCAGGGCAGGCUUCUCUCCAAGCCCACCUCUGGAGUUUGCAAGUGCUGGUGGCAGGCAGGUGGAUUGACCUCCUGGCACUAUGUGCACAGGUGACAGCAGCAGUAGGUGGGUCAGACCCUUUUCAAUCCCACUUUAGAGCUCUUCAGUUAGAAGUUAGUUUAUGGUGCUCCUUUUUCUAACCGUAAGUCAUUAUAAAAUACAGGUUUAUCAGUUAUUUUUUGGCAUAUUUAACACAUUUAAAUGGGAUGAACAGCUUUUUAGUUUAUCAUAGGAAGCUAAUAAAAAUCAAAUCUAAUUUGUUUCAUUUUGUUUUGUUUUUUUGAGACAGAGUCUUGCUCUGUCACCCAGGCUGGACUGCAGUGGAGGUUGUAGUGAGCCAAGAUUGCACUGCGGCACUCUAGCCUGGGUGACAGAGCAAGACUCCAUCUCAAAAAAAAAAAAAAUACUUUCAACAAGGCAUUUAGUCUCUUGUAAUAUAUAUGUAUACUAUUACAUUGUACAGAAUCUGUACUUAUGUUUGGUGUGUAAUAUACCAAUUAGUUUUAUAUAUUAUCCUCAUAAGCUAUUCUAAUUUUUGAGAGAAACACAAAAAGUUAUAGAUUGAUAGUCUGUAUAAUAUUAGACAAAAUAGUAAGCUUUAUAAAAAGUUAUUUUUGGUAAAUGGUAAAGAAUUUGGGGUGGAAUGUGAUGAGAUUAAAAUGUAGCUUUGAUAUAACUUCAUGUGUAUUUCAAAAUAUACUGAACGUCAACAUGAUUUGAAUAAAGAAAAUGUAUUUUCUACUUGAA